rnacentral:rRNA from 1 species
CCUACGGGAGGCAGCAGUGGGGAAUAUUGCACAAUGGGCGAAAGCCUGAUGCAGCAACGCCGCGUGCGCGAUGAAGGCCUUCGGGUCGUAAAGCUCUGUCCUCAAGGAAGAUACUGACGGUACUUGAGGAGGAAGCCCCGGCUAACUACGUGCCAGCAGCCGCGGUAAUACGUAGGGGGCUAGCGUUAUCCGGAAUUACUGGGCGUAAAGGGUGCGUAGGUGGUUUCUUAAGUCAGAGGUGAAAGGCUACGGCUCAACCGUAGUAAGCCUUUGACACUGGGAAACUUGAGUGUCGGAGAGGAGAGUGGAAUGCGUGGUGUAGCGGUGAAAUGCGUAGAUAUGAGGAGGAACACCAGUUGCGAAGGCGGCUCUCUGGAGUGUAACUGACACUGAGGCACGAAAGCGGGGGUAGCGAACAGGAUUAGAUACCCUGGUAGUC